UACGGAGGGUGCAAGCGUUAUCCGGAUUCACUGGGUUUAAAGGGUGCGUAGGCGGGCAGGUAAGUCAGUGGUGAAAUCUCCGGGCUUAACCCGGAAACUGCCGUUGAUACUACCUGUCUUUAAUAUCGUGGAGGUAAGCGGAAUAUGUCAUGUAGCGGUGAAAUGCUUAGAUAUGACAUAGAACACCCAUUGCGAAGGCAGCUUACUACACGAUCAUUGACGCUGAGGCACGAAAGCGUGGGGAGCAAACAGG
rnacentral:rRNA from 1 species